CUGACCACCUACAGUGGUACGAUGGGCUCCAACGUGGAGGCAUGAACCCACACACACGUCAGGGGACUGGUUGUGGUGGCACAGGAGCCUUUUCCUGGCUGAGUUUUCUGAGAGACAGCUGUUAUCUGUAAAAGAAGGGUCGUCACACAUGCCUGCAAAGAGGCAGAUCCCUGAAGGUGGGCAUGGUCCUGGGCGAGCUGUAGGGAGAGCCUCUUUCCUCCAUUCUGGCUCCGGGGGACAUUGUACUGCACCUACCAACAAUGUCUUUCACAGGUUCCCUUGUGACCCCCACGUCAAAUUAUUAAUCCCUUUGCUCCCCCUCCCUGGAGAGCUCUGCUGUGAGAAUUUUUUUUGUCUAAUCUGAUUUCUCCGAGAACCGUUCCCUAUACCCUGCCAAACUCUCCUGGAGCCAACUUGGCAAAGGCCAAAGGGGAUCGUCAAUUAAUUCCAUCCUCUUCAUGUUUUGCACUAAUCAUUGAAAUAAAGGCCUUCUUUUUUUCCCA